CAGUAGCCGCGGUAAGACAGAGGAUGCAAGCGUUAUCCGGAAUGAUUGGGCGUAAAGCGUCUGUAGGUGGCUUUUCAAGUCCGCCGUCAAAUCCCAGGGCUCAACCCUGGACAUGCGGUGGAAACUACCAAGCUGGAGUACGGUAGGGGCAGAGGGAAUUUCCGGUGUAGCGGUGAAAUGCGUUGAGAUCGGAAAGAACACCAACGGCGAAAGCAGUCUUCUGGGCCGACACUGACACUGAGAGACGAAAGCUAGGGGAGCAAAUGGGAUUAGAGACCCCAGUAGUCCCUGUCUCUUAUAC
rnacentral:rRNA from 1 species